rnacentral:rRNA from 1 species
CACGAAGGUGGCAAGCGUUGUUCGGAUUUACUGGGCGUACAGGGAGCGUAGGCGGUUGGAUAAGCCCUCCGUGAAAUCUCCAGGCUUAACCUGGAAAGUGCAGAGGGGACUGUUCAGCUAGAGGAUGGGAGAGGAGCGCGGAAUUCCCGGUGUAGCGGUGAAAUGCGUAGAGAUCGAUAGGAACUCCGGUGGCGAAGGCGGCAUACUGGAUCACUUCUGACGCUGAGGCGCGAAAGCCAGGGGAGCAAACGGG